GUCUAUGGCCACGCCACCCUGAACAAGCCCGAUCCCGUCUGAUCUUGGAAGCUAAGCAGGGUCGGGCCUGGUUAGUACUUGGAUGGGAGACCACCUAGGAAGACCAGGUGCUGUAAGCU
rnacentral:rRNA from 1 species